rnacentral:piRNA from 1 species
UCCAGCAGAUAGAAGCCAAGGGUGUU